rnacentral:rRNA from 1 species
GGGCCCGCACAAGCGGUGGAGCAUGUGGUUUAAUUCGAUGAUACGCGAGGAACCUUACCAGGGCUUAAAUGGGAGAUGACAGGGGCAGAGACGCCCUUUUCUUCGGACAUCUUUCAAGGUGCUGCAUGGUUGUCGUCAGCUCGUGCCGUGAGGUGUCAGGUUAAGUCCUAUAACGAGCGCAACCCCUACCGUUAGUUGCCAGCGAUUCAAGUCGGGGACUCUAACGGGACUGCCGGUGCAAACCGUGAGGAAGGUGGGGACGACGUCAAAUCAUCACGGCCCUUACGGCCUGGGCUACACACGUGCUACAAUGGCUAGGACAGACGGCCGCAAACCCGUGAGGGGGAGCCAAUCCGACAAACCUAGUCGUAGUCCGGAUCGGAGUCUGCAACUCGACUCCAUGAAGUCGGAAUCGCUAGUAAUCG